GGCCCCAGGGACAGGACCUCUGUGCUUUCACCUCUGUGUCCUUACACCUGGAGGGAUGCUCUGAGGUCCUGCUCUAGGAGGUG
rnacentral:precursor_RNA from 1 species